rnacentral:rRNA from 1 species
UACGUAGGGUGCAAGCGUUGUCCGGAAUUAUUGGGCGUAAAGCGCGCGCAGGCGGUUCGCUCCGUCCGGUGUGAAAUCUCCCGGCUCACCUGGGAGGGGGCGCUGGAGACUGGCGAACUGGAGGCAGGGAGAGGUCGGUGGAAUUCCCGGUGUAGUGGUGAAAUGCGUAGAGAUCGGGAGGAACACCAGUGGCGAAAGCGGCCGACUGGACCUGUCCUGACGCUGAGGCGCGAAAGCGUGGGGAGCGAACCGG